rnacentral:rRNA from 1 species
GCGGCCUAUCAGCUUGUUGGUGAGGUAACGGCUCACCAAGGCUACGACGGGUAACCGGCCUGAGAGGGCGAACGGUCACACUGGGACUGAGACACGGCCCAGACUCCUACGGGAGGCAGCAGUGGGGAAUAUUGGGCAAUGGGCGGAAGCCUGACCCAGCGACGCCGCGUGAGGGAUGAAGGCCUUCGGGUUGUAAACCUCUUUCAGCAGGGAAGAAGCGAAAGUGACGGUACCUGCAGAAGAAGCACCGGCUAACUAUGUGCCAGCAGCCGCGGUAAUACAUAGGGUGCAAGCGUUGUCCGGAAUUAUUGGGCGUAAAGAGCUCGUAGGUCGUUUGUUACGUCGGAUGUGAAAACCUGAGGCUCAACCUCAGGCCUGCAUUCGAUACGGGCAAACUAGAGUUUGGUAGGGGAGACUGGAAUUCCU